rnacentral:tRNA from 1 species
GGGCUCGUGGUCUAGGGGAAUGACGCCGCCUUCACGAGGCGGAGGUCGUGCGUUCGAAUCGCACCGAGCCCA